rnacentral:rRNA from 1 species
AAGGUAGCGAAAUUCCUUGUCGGGUAAGUUCCGACCUGCACGAAUGGCGUAACGAUGGCCACACUGUCUCCUCCCGAGACUCAGCGAAGUUGAAGUGGUUGUGAAGAUGCAAUCUACCCGCUGCUAGACGGAAAGACCCCGUGAACCUUUACUGUAGCUUUGCAUUGGACUUUGAAGUCACUUGUGUAGGAUAGGUGGGAGGCUUAGAAGCAGAGACGCCAGUCUCUGUGGAGCCGUCCUUGAAAUACCACCCUGGUGUCUUUGAGGUUCUAACCCAGACCCGUAAUCCGGGUCGGGGACCGUGCAUGGUAGGCAGUUUGACUGGGGCGGUCUCCUCCCAAAGAGUAACGGAGGAGUUCGAAGGUUACCUAGGUCCGGUCGGAAAUCGGACUGAUAGUGCAAUGGCAAAAGGUAGCUUAACUGCGAGACCGACAAGUCGAGCAGGUGCGAAAGCAGGACAUAGUGAUCCGGUGGUUCUGUAUGGAAGGGCCAUCGCUCAACGGAUAAAAGGUACUCCGGGGAUAACAGGCUGAUUCCGCCCAAGAGUUCAUAUCGACGGCGGAGUUUGGCACCUCGAUGUCGGCUCAUCACAUCCUGGGGCUGUAGUCGGUCCCAAGGGUAUGGCUGUUCGCCAUUUAAAGUGGUACGUGAGCUGGGUUUAAAACGUCGUGAGACAGUUUGGUCCCUAUCUGCAGUGGGCGUUGGAAGUUUGACGGGGGCUGCUCCUAGUACGAGAGGACCGGAGUGGACGAACCUCUGGUGUACCGGUUGUAACGCCAGUUGCAUAGCCGGGUAGCUAAGUUCGGAAGAGAUAAGCGCUGAAAGCAUCUAAGCGCGAAACUCGCCUGAAGAUGAGACUUCCCUUGCGGUUUAACCGCACUAAAGAGUCGUUCGAGACCAGGACGUUGAUAGGUGGGGUGUGGAAGCGCGGUAACGCGUGAAGCUAACCCAUACUAAUUGCUCGUGAGGCUUGACUCU